rnacentral:rRNA from 2 species
UUCCGUUUGAUCCUGGCAGAGGUCACUGCUCUCAGUGUUCGACUUAGCCAUGCAAGUCAAAUGUUCUUCGUGAACAUGGCGAACUGCUCACUAACACGUGGAUAACCUGCCCUUAGGACUGGCACAACCCUGGGAGACUGGGGAUAAUUCCAGAUAGCCCAUGAAUGCUGGAAUGCAUCGUGGGUAAAAUGGUUCCGACCGCCUAAGGAUGGAUCUGCGGCCUAUCAGGUAGUAGUGGGUGUAUCGUACCUACUAGCCGACGACGGGUACGGGUUGUGAGAGCAAGAGCCCGGAGAUGGAUUCUGAGACAUGAAUCCAGGCCCUACGGGGCGCAGCAGGCGCGAAAACUUUACAAUGCGGGAAACCGCGAUAAGGGGACACUGAGUGCCAGCAUACUAUGUUGGCUGUCCACAUGUGUAAAAAGCAUGUGUUAGCUAGGGCUGGGCAGGACCGGUGCCAGCCGCCGCGGUAACACCGGCAGCCCGAGUGGUGAUCACUAUUAUUGGGCUUAAAGGGUCCGUAGCCGGUUUGAUCAGUCUUUUGGGAAAUCUGACAGCUCAACUGUUAGGCUUCCGGGGAAUACUGUCAGACUUGGGACCGGGAGAGGUAAGAGGUACUACAGGGGUAGGAGUGAAAUCUUGUAAUCCCUGUGGGACCACCAGUGGCGAAGGCGACUUACCAGAACGGGUCCGACGGUGAGGGACGAAAGCUGGGGGCACGAACCGGAUUAGAUACCCGGGUAGUCCCAGCCGUAAACGAUGUUCGCUAGGUGUCAGGGACGGUGCGACCGUUUCUGGUGCCGUAGGGAAGCCGUGAAGCGAACCACCUGGGAAGUACGGCCGCAAGGCUGACACUUAAAAGAAUUGGUGGGGGAGCACUACAACGGGUGGACCCUGCGGUUUAAUUGGACUCAACGCGGGAAAACUCACCGGGGGCGACAGCAAGAUGUAGGUCAAGCUAAAGACUUUACCUGAAUCGCUGAGAGGAGGUGCAUGGCCGUCGUCAGUUCGUACUGUGAAGCAUCCUGUUAAGUCAGGCAACGAGCGAGACCC